GACGAACGCUGGCGGCGUGCUUAACACAUGCAAGUCGAACGGAAAGGCCCUGCUUUUGUGGGGUGCUCGAGUGGCGAACGGGUGAGUAACACGUGAGUAACCUGCCCUUGACUUUGGGAUAACUUCAGGAAACUGGGGCUAAUACCGGAUAGGAGCUCCUGCUGCAUGGUGGGGGUUGGAAAGUUUCGGCGGUUGGGGAUGGACUCGCGGCUUAUCAGCUUGUUGGUGGGGUAGUGGCUUACCAAGGCUUUGACGGGUAGCCGGCCUGAGAGGGUGACCGGCCACAUUGGGACUGAGAUACGGACCAGACUCGUACGGGAGGCAGCGGUGGGGAAUAUUGCGCAGUGGGCGGAAGCCUGAUGCAGCAACGCCGCGUGCGGAAUGACGGCCUUCGGGUUGUAAACCACUUUCGCCUGUGACGAAGCGUGAGUGACGGUAAUGGGUAAAGAAGCACCGGCUAACUACGUG
rnacentral:rRNA from 1 species